GAAAGCAAACUCUUGAUCAAGAUCCAGAAUCCCACUGCGGUGUUCACUAUUGCAGGGCUAGCAUGAAAUGAGACCUGAAACGUGGCUCAUCCGAGAUGAGGUGUGCUGUGAAGUAUAAAAUGUACACCAGAUUCUGAAGACUUCAUACAGAAAAAGGAAGCUGAAAUACUUCUUACUCAUUUAAGUAACUUUGAAGACAUCUUGAUCUAGGAAGCAAGACUACAGGUGGAUGAAAAUGAAUUGGAAUCAGCAACAAGGUUUAUAUUCUGUCCUUUACACAGAUGGAAAAAUCAAGAUAAAACAGCUUGUCUAAGCUGAGAAACAAUCUACUUGCACAGCAGGGAUCACCAGCACCCACCUCACAACAGAAGGAGAAAAUGCUCUCUGCUCUUCAUUACAGAAAUUCACUGAUAAGUAAAAAAGUGUCAGUCACUUCA